AUCAAAGAUCUAUACAAAGCCAGAAGGUCUACUUGAAAAAAAGACUACUCAAUGCCUUGAAUGAGCUAGAAGAAUUGAAGUCAGCAGUGAAACAAAAGAUCAAUGAAUUAAAAAGAAGAUAUACUUAUCAAAGUAAUUCAUUGCAGCAAUCUGCUGUUAAAAACCAGGGUUUGGCAUACCAUGGAAUGAAAAAGGUAGUUAGACCAACUGCACGAGAAUUUAAUUAUAAUGGUUCAAGAGCUCAGCAAUUUUCAUAUUCCAAAUCAGGAGGACGUAAG